UUCUAUCUAUCUAUCAUUCUUUCUGUCUGUCUAUCUAUCUACUGUAUCAUUCUUUCUGUCUGUCUAUCUAUCUGUCUACCUGUCUGUCUGUCCUUCUAUCCUUCUAUCUGUUGCUCUACCUAUCAUUCUAUCAACCUAUCUAGCGUUCUACCAAUCUAUCUAGCGUUCUAUCUAUCGUUCUAUCUAUUGUUCUAUCUUUUGUUAGUUACAUCUAACAUUGUGUCUGUCUAUCAUUCUAUCAUUCUGUCGUUCAAUGUAUCGUUCUGUUGUACAUUCCAUCUGUCUCUCUUUUCUUUUUGUACAUUCUAUCAUUCUACCUAUUAUUUUAUCAGCCUUUCUAUCUAUCUAUCUAUCUAUCUAUCUAUCUAUCUAUCUAUCUAUCUAUCUAUCUAUCUAUCUAUCUAUCUAUCUAUCUAUCUGUCUGUCUGUCUGUCUGUCUGUCUGUCUGUCUGUCUGUCAUUCUAUCUAUCAUUCUGUCAUUCUAUCAUUCUGUCGUUCAAAGUAUCAUUCCGUCUGUCUGUCUGCCUGUCUGUCUGUUAUUCUAUCCUUCUAUCUAUCGUUCUAACUGUCGUUCUUUCAACCUAUCUAUCUAUCUAUCUAUCUAUCUAUCUAUCUAUCUAUCUAUCUAUCUAUCUAUCUAUCUAUCUGUCUAUCUAUCUGUCUGUCUGUCUGUCUGUCUGUCUGUCUGUCUGUCUGUCUGUCUGUCUGUCUGUCUGUUGUUCUUUCUAUGUUAGUAUCUGUAGGUCUAUGAACCCAUUGUUCUGUCAUUCAAUGUAUCAUUCUGUUGUACAUUCCAUCUGUCUGUCUGUAAGUUGUUCUAUCUAUCUGUCUGUUGGUCUGUCAUUCUAUCUACUGUAUCAUGCUGUCUGUUGUUUUAUCUAUCCAUCCAUUGUUCUAUCAUUCUAUCUAUCUAUUGAUCUAUUUUCUUCAUUCAGUCAUUCUUUCUCUGUCGUUCUAUCUGUCAUUAUGCAUUCUUUCAUUAUGUCUAUCUUUCUAUCUACAGUAUCUAUAACCACUGCUUCUUACUGGUUAUUUUCGACCUUGUGCCAUUCUCAUGUCAGAAGUAAUCUUUUGAUGUUUUCAAACAUUUGUUAAUUUUCUAGAAAUCUAAUCUGUUUCCAUGAGUCAUGAUUAGCCUUAAGCAUCAGUGUAGUUCAUAGCUGCUUAGCAGUAACUUAUUUUACACAUGACUGGACAUGAUCUUGUCAUCUUCUAAACCACUAGCUUCUCAGUCCUGAUGAGUGCGACGCUGAUCCGCAGGCACUUUCUGAAUGCCACAGUUAUAACAAUGCCUCUAAUUACAUUGUGUCUGUUGCUGUCACUGUCUCGCUGUUCCAGACGCAGAUGAGACAUGGUACCCUCACCUCUGUCAGCCUGAUGUCCUCCCGUCAUGUUCAGUGAGUCAGCGGCUGAGUGUUCCAUAACAUCGCUCCGCUCCAUCAGAGCUUGUGUUGAGGUAAUCAAGUAUGCUAUUCAGUACUAAGAGUUUCAAAAUAGCAUGAUGCUUUUGAACCACGUCAUCAAUGAAGUAAAUCUUGAUCUCUCUCGUCUCUUUUGCAUUUAUAUAUGUACUGUAUAUGUGUGUGUGUGUGUCUGUGUCUGUGUUUGCAUGGUUAAGCAUCCGGUUAUCUUUUUCUAAACAAAAAAUGUCUUCUUAAAAGUUAAUAUAAAGAUAUUUUGGUUGAUAAUACAC
ensembl:lncRNA